AUACGGAGGGUGCAAGCGUUAAUCGGAAUUACUGGGCGUAAAGAGUACGUAGGUGGUUUAUUAAGUCAGAUGUGAAAGCCCCGGGCUCAACCUGGGAACUGCAUUUGAAACUAGUAGACUAGAGUAUGGUAGAGGGGGGUAGAAUUUCUAGUGUAGCGGUGAAAUGCGUAGAUAUUAGAAGGAAUACCAGUGGCGAAGGCGGCCCCCUGGACCAAUACUGACACUGAGGUACGAAAGCGUGGGUAGCGAAUAGGAUUAGAAACCCUAGUAGUCC
rnacentral:rRNA from 1 species